AGGAAUUGGGUUAAGGAAUCAAAUGAAGCUAUGAUGUACGGGUACUCCAUUUGAGGGAGAGUACCAGUACCGGGUACGUACCCUACCCGUAUCUUAAUUUUCGCCCAUACACGUACAGUUUUUCUAAAAAUGGCGUACCCAGUACUGGUACCUGUAUCGUACCCGCACCUAGGCAACGUUGAAUGAAGGUGAUCGAUCAUUAGGCUUAUAUAAUAAUUUUGGGUACUGCCAGAUUAGGAGGACAAGAAAGAAGUUCCUUCCCACUGCCAUGAGGAAGACAAGAAAGAAGACGGGGAGGGAACCACCAUAAUUAGGAGGACGAGCAAAACCGUGAUAGGGAUGCUGGCUGGAAGGUCAUAAUACUCCUAUUGGUAAGGGGAGAAUGAACGAAAAAAUGCAGCAAAUCGGAGAAAGCUAAAGAUGAAUUAUUCACUAGGAACCAAGUUGAUUGCAAGGACACAAGAUGAGUUGGUGAAUCUGCACAACAACUCAAAGCUAAGGCUAAAAUUUCAUGAAGUUCUUUCUAAUGUUG